GACGAACGCUGGCGGCGUGCUUAACACAUGCGAGUCGAACGGAAAGGCCCUGCUUGCAGGGUACUCGAGUGGCGAACGGGUGAGUAACACGUGGGUGAUCUGCCCUGCACUUCGGGAUAAGCCUGGGAAACUGGGUCUAAUACCGGAUAGGAGCCAUUUUUAGUGUGAUGGUUGGAAAGUUUUUUCGGUGUAGGAUGAGCUCGCGGCCUAUCAGCUUGGUGGUGGGGUAAUGGCCUACCAAGGCGGCGACGGGUAGCCGGCCUGAGAGGGUGGUCGGCCACACUGGAACUGAGACACGGGCCAGACUCCUGGGGGAGGCAGCAGUAGGGAAUCUUCCGCAAUGGGCGAAAGGCGGACGGAGCAACGCCGCGGGAGUGAUGAAGGUCUUCGGAUCGUAAAACUCUGUUAGUAGGGAAGAAUAUAUGUGUAAGGAACUGUGCACAUCUUGGCGGUACCUAAGCAGAAAGCCACGGCUAACUACGUG
rnacentral:rRNA from 1 species